rnacentral:rRNA from 1 species
GACGAACGCUGGCGGCGUGCCUAACACAUGCAAGUCGAGCGGGAACCUCAGGAGGGGUAACCCUUCUGAGGGGAGAGCGGCGAACGGGUGAGUAACACGUGGGCAACCUGCCCCGGACACCGGGAUAACCCAGGGAAACCUGAGCUAAUACCGGAUACUCCGGCGCGAUCGCAUGGUCGUGCCGGGAAAGCUCCGACGGUCCGGGAUGGGCCCGCGGCCUAUCAGCUUGUUGGUGGGGUAACGGCCCACCAAGGCGACGACGGGUAGCUGGUCUGAGAGGACGAUCAGCCACACUGGCACUGCGACACGGGCCAGACUCCUACGGGAGGGCAGCAGUAAGGAAUAUUGCGCAAUGGGCGAAAGCCUGACGCAGCGACGCCGCGUGGGGAGUGAAGGUCUUCGGAUUGUAAACCCCUUUCCGGGAGGGAAGAUGGAACGAGCAAUCGUUCGGACGGUACCUCCAGAAGCAGCCACGGCUAACUUCGUGCCAGCAGCCGCUG